CUCUGCUACUACACCAAUGAUGUCAUUUUAUUGCGACCACUCUCUGGAUUGUGGAUUUUACGGACUGCAUUCCCAUGUACUGGGUUUAGCUGGACCGUAUUGGACUGGAGGUGACAGGAUAUUUUGUACCUGCUUCGGACUGGUUCUGUCAUUAACCUACUGAGCUGGUGCUUCUGUCCCAGGUAAAAUGUGUUUGAACUUACAUUUGCAUCUAUACAUGAAGUAGGCAGCCUAGAGCAGGAGGCGGGCGUCAGAUCAGAGGGUUGCAGGCAUCUCCAUCGCAUCGCUCCUAGGCAUCUGAAAGUGUACCGUUGCGCACAGAUCAUGCUGGUAACGAGUUAUUCAAAGGGUCUACCAAUCAUGGCAAAAACAGAAAUCCAGCUCCUCAGCCCAGGCAGUGCCAACAACCCAGCUGAUCCAGGAGCUGCAGCGAGGGGUAGUGAUGACACUCCGGGCACCCCGACUGCCCUCUUCAACCAUUCCCAUGGAAUUCAUCCUGUCCAGCCUCCGUCAGAUAAUCCAGCCCUCCCCCUCCUACUUCCAGAGACUAAUUUGCAGAUUCUAAUGGGUAUGUGCUAAGGAGAUGAUGAGUGAACACGCUGCCAGUUUGGUUGCAGUGUGUCACCGAAUUCCGUAGAUUCAUCAUCACUAUGUGGGGUGGAAGCUGCACAGACUACAACAAGGCUUCUGGGACCCCACUCCCCUCAAGCAAGACAUUUACCACCUGCUUCACCUAUGAAGGACUGAUUAUUGGCAGUGAUGUAUACCACAACGCAUACAAGCUGUUCAGCCUGCUGCCCUCCGGGUAGAGGUACAGGAGUAUCUGCUUCCGCAACUCCAGACUCGCCAA